rnacentral:rRNA from 1 species
UACGUAGGGUGCAAGCGUUGUCCGGAAUUAUUGGGCGUAAAGAGCUUGUAGGCGGUUUGUCGCGUCUGCUGUGAAAUUUCGGGGCUCAACCCCGAACUUGCAGUGGGUACGGGCAGACUAGAGUGUGGUAGGGGAGACUGGAAUUCCUGGUGUAGCGGUGAAAUGCGCAGAUAUCAGGCGGAACACCUAUUGCGAAGGCAGCUCGCUGGGACGUAACUGACGCUGAGACGCGAAAGCGUGGGGAGCGAACAGG